GUUUGAUUCAGUCAGUCACGAAGUUUUGGAGCGAAAACACUGCGUUGUUAGAAACCUGUUUCUACAGAGUUGUUCGCUUUUGCAUAAGGUUUUGCAGAACAUAACUUAACCAGCACCGGAAGCGUGAGAUGUGAGGGUUUUCAGUACCACAUAUUGAUUACAUCUCUACAUUUAUUGAGUCUUGUUCUUCCUAUUCGUACAAUACCGUACCGUUAUAUCUGGCGCCCAACCUAACCGAACCUGGACAGACCCAUAAGGAGAGGGUUUCGUGCUUGUAGCUGAGAAGCCUAGAGACGAAGACGUCUUUCCUACCAC